GAUGAACGCUGGCGGCGUGCCUAAUACAUGCAAGUCGAGCGAACGGACGAGAAGCUUGCUUCUCUGAUGUUAACGGCGGACGGGUGAGUAACACGUGGAUAACCUACCUAUAAGACUGGGAUAACUUCGGGAAACCGUAGCUAAUACCGGAUAAUAUUUUGAACCGCAUGGUUCAAAAGUGAAAGACGGUCUUGCUGUCACUUAUAGAUGGAUCCGCGCUGCAUUAGCUAGUUGGUAAGGUAACGGCUUACCAAGGAAACGAUGCAUAGCCGACCGGAGAGGGUGAUCGGCCACACUGGAACUGAGACACGGUCCAGGCUCCUACGGGAGGCAGCAGUAGGGAAUCUUCCGCAAUGGGCGAAAGCCUGACGGAGCAACGCCGCGUGAGUGAUGAAGGUCUUCGGAUCGUAAAACUCUGUUAUUAGGGAAGAACAUAUGUGUAAGUAACUGUGCACAUCUUGACGGUACCUAAUCAGAAAGCCACGGCUAACUACGUG
rnacentral:rRNA from 1 species